AAAUAUUUUGGGCUUUUCAUUUCUGCACUUUCCUCACCCAGUCAGACUCAACCAUGGUGUGGAACCAGUAAGAAAUUUUGGUGGAUGGAAUGAAUAAUUAUUGUUGGAAGUGUUCUCUCACAUCUUUUUAAUUCCUAAGAUAAAUGAAAUAUUUAUAUAUUAUAUAUAAAAUCAUAUAUAUAUACAUUAUAUAGAAAUAUAUAUCUAAUAAUAAUAUUAUAUAUAAGGUAAGAGCUAUAAGCAAAUGGAAACUGUGACUUUAAUGUAUUUCUGAUAUAUUUUGUUCUUCCUAUAACAUCAUACAUGUGUGUUUUUUUUUCAGGUUCUGUGUCCUAUGCCAACAUGUUUGAGUGUUCAGUAAGAUGUGAAAACACUAAAUAAGCUACCAUUCUAUUGUUUUAUGAAAGAAAGUUGAAAAAAGUUUAUCAGAGUGCACACAGGUCUUCAGAGGUCUUUUUUUUUUUUUUUUUUUUACUCCUUCAAUUUGUUUAUAGUUUUGAUGAUUAUUUUGUAUUGCUGCGUGGAGUCAUAAUAGAAAAUGAUAAUUUAAAUAAUUCCCAUUCAAAUUCAAUAGUUCUAAAUUAAAAAAACAAAAACAAAAACAAAAACAACAUUCUGAUGUUUUCAACAUUAUUUAAAAUCUUUUUGUUACAUUAAUUUUACAUUAAUUUCAUUAGUUUAUUUGGAAAAAAAAAGUCUGAAAUUGAAAGUUUGACACUAAAAAGAAAAUCCAUAUUUUUACUUCCAUCUUUUCCAUCUCAUAGUUUAUAUAUAUAUAGUGUUUUUAAAACAGAUUGUUUGUAAAAUUUAAGUUUGAUCACAUGAAUAAUAUCAAUGGGAAACAACAACAACAACAAAAUCAGUCUAAACUAUUGUUACCAUUUCCAUUAUUAUUAUACCUAGUGAUUUGGUUUUGAAAAAAAAAAUAAUUUGGUAGCAUACAUGUUACUACUUUAUUGCAAAGUAAACAUAUUUUUACAUAAACCAUUAAAAUAUAUUAAUGGUUGACAGCAGAGAACACAAUCACUAAAAUUCUCAAAAAUUCUUCGAUAGUCUUCAACUGUAUUAACAUUUUAAGAUGUGAAAUAUAUUUGAAACACUAAUAAGAACAUAUUUAAUUAAAACAUCUCAGCUGAGCAGAAGUAACUUCCUUCUAGAGGGUAAUAUUAUCUUGCACCACCAUUUCUAGUAGUAUAUUAUAUGU
rnacentral:lncRNA from 1 species